rnacentral:rRNA from 1 species
CCUACGGGCGGCAGCAGUGGGGAAUAUUGGACAAUGGGCGAAAGCCUGAUCCAGCCAUGCCGCGUGUGUGAAGAAGGCCUUCGGGUUGUAAAGCACUUUCAGUGGGGAAGAAAGCCUUGGGGCUAAUACCCUCGAGGAAGGACAUCACCCACAGAAGAAGCACCGGCUAACUCCGUGCCAGCAGCCGCGGUAAUACGGAGGGUGCGAGCGUUAAUCGGAAUUACUGGGCGUAAAGCGCGCGUAGGCGGUCUGAUAAGCCGGUUGUGAAAGCCCCGGGCUCAACCUGGGAACGGCAUCCGGAACUGUCAGGCUAGAGUGCAGGAGAGGAAGGUAGAAUUCCCGGUGUAGCGGUGAAAUGCGUAGAGAUCGGGAGGAAUACCAGUGGCGAAGGCGGCCUUCUGGACUGACACUGACGCUGAGGUGCGAAAGCGUGGGUAGCAAACAGGAUUAGAUACCCGGGUC